rnacentral:tRNA from 1 species
GUGGUUCAGUGGUAGAAUUCUCACCUUCCAUGUGGGAGACCCGGGUUCAAUUCCAGGC